rnacentral:rRNA from 1 species
ACGGGUGAGUAACGCGUGGAUAACCUGCCGUAUACAGGGGGAUAACACUUAGAAAUAGGUGCUAAUACCGCAUAAGCGCACGGUUCCGCAUGGAACAGUGUGAAAAACUCCGGUGGUAUACGAUGGAUCCGCGUCUGAUUAGCCAGUUGGCGGGGUAACGGCCCACCAAAGCGACGAUCAGUAGCCGGCCUGAGAGGGUGAACGGCCACAUUGGGACUGAGACACGGCCCAAACUCCUACGGGAGGCAGCAGUGGGGAAUAUUGCACAAUGGGGGAAACCCUGAUGCAGCGACGCCGCGUGAGUGAAGAAGUAUUUCGGUACGUAAAGCUCUAUCAGCAGGGAAGAAAAAAAGUCCUUUGGACUUUGGACGGUACCUGACCAAGAAGCCCCGGCUAACUACGUGCCAGCAGCCGCGGUAAUACGUAGGGGGCAAGCGUUAUCCGGAUUUACUGGGUGUAAAGGGAGCGUAGACGGCAGCGCAAGUCUGGAGCGAAAUGCCGGGGCCCAACCCCGGAACUGCUUUGGAAACUGUGCAGCUCGAGUGCAGGAGAGGUAAGCGGAAUUCCUAGUGUAGCGGUGAAAUGCGUAGAUAUUAGGAGGAACACCAGUGGCGAAGGCGGCUUACUGGACUGUAACUGACGUUGAGGCUCGAAAGCGUGGGGAGCAAACAGGAUUAGAUACCCUGGUAGUCCACGCCGUAAACGAUGAUUACUAGGUGUCGGGGGGCCAAGGCCCUUCGGUGCCGCCGCAAACG